rnacentral:lncRNA from 1 species
GAUGAACAGGACAGUAAAGAUUAGGGCCAAAUCCUCAAGUGGCUGCUCUCUGGCAUGUAGAACUUAAGUUUAUUAGCACAUUGUUUGGUGGUUCUUAAAAGGAUUGAGGGCAUCUCAGGGCAUCUUGGAAAAUUUUGGAUUUUUUCAGAGGGAGAGAGAGAAUUGCACUUGGCAAUUCCUGUUUCUACACUGUCAAGGAGUGCUCAACUACAAAAUUUUCCUUCCAGCAGGUCCAAGUAAGUCCGGGGUGGAUCUAGCUUCACUGUCUCUGAUUAUAUCUGUGGGCAAAAGAAGAGAGAGGAAGAAAGAGAAAAAACAUUGUCAGACUGACAAGGUUAGACCAAAACUAAGCAAGGAGGAAAACAGCUCUUCUACUCCAGGAUGUGAAUAGCAGAAAGUGCUUCUCAUUAUUUCAUCCAUAGCUGUCUUCUUAAAAGCACACUAAGGUUUUGCAUCACCUUGGUAACUGUAGAUCUUGGAGCAGAUGUUUUAAAUACGAUAAAGACAAUGGCAGUAUGUCCUCUUGCUAUGAAACUCCCAGCAAGUGGACGUGGUCCAGAAUUCCAUUCCAGAAGAUGAUUUCACAACAGUGAAUUAAAUCAGGAUUUCUACUCAC